GCGCCCGUAGCUCAGCUGGAUAGAGUACUACCCUCCGAAGGUAGGGGUCACAGGUUCGAAUCCUGUCGGGCGCGCCA
rnacentral:tRNA from 2 species